UACAGAGGGGGCGAGCGUUAAUCGGAAUUACUGGGCGUAAAGUGUGCGCAGGUGGCCGCGCAAGUCGAGUGUGAAAUCCCCGAGCUUAACUUGGGAACUGCGUCUGAUACUGGGUGGCUUGAGUUCGGGAGAGGAAUGUGGAUUUCCAGGUGUAGCGGUGAAAUGCGUAGAUAUCUGGAGGAACACCGGUGGCGAAGGCGGCAUUCUGGACCGAAACUGACGCUGAGGCGCGAAAGCCAGGGGAGCAAACGGG
rnacentral:rRNA from 1 species